GACGAACGCUGGCGGCGUGCUUAACACAUGCAAGUCGAACGGAAAGGCCCUGCUUGCAGGGUACUCGAGUGGCGAACGGGUGAGUAACACGUGGGUGAUCUGCCCUGCACUUCGGGAUAAGCUUGGGAAACUGGGUCUAAUACCGGAUAGGAGCCAUCUUUAGUGUGGUGGUUGGAAAGUUUUUUCGGUGUAGGAUGAGCUCGCGGCCUAUCAGCUUGUUGGUGGGGUAAUGGCCUACCAAGGCGGCGACGGGUAGCCGGCCUGAGAGGGUGUACGGUCACAUUGGGACUGAGAUACGGCCCAGACUCCUACGGGAGGCAGCAGUGGGGAAUAUUGCACAAUGGGCGCAAGCCUGAUGCAGCGACGCCGCGUGGGGGAUGAAGGCCUUCGGGUUGUAAACUCCUUUCGCUAGGGACGAAGCUUUUUUGUGACGGUACCUAGAUAAGAAGCACCGGCUAACUACGUG
rnacentral:rRNA from 1 species